rnacentral:tRNA from 1 species
AGAAUAAGUUUUCUAACAAAAUAAGAUUUCUAACCUUUAUUUUAGGUAAUAAUUAUCUUUAUUCUU